AAUGGGGAGAGAAGCCAGGAGGCCUGGGUAGCAGGAGAGGGAGUCUCUGGACCAAGUGGAAAGCCCAAGGGAGCACCCUGUGACCACACUCCUGUACAAAGGGCAGACAGCUGGGAAAGACUCUGGAGAAUUAUGAGGCUUUUAUUAAGCCCAAGGUUUAAACUGAAUGAAUAUUGAACUAGAGACUACAGUGCCUGAGUGUCAGCACUGAAUAGAUGGAUGGGGGGCUUCUUGAAAGACAGCACUACACAUCUCUGCAUCAUCAUUUGCGAAAACUU